GCGGGGAAGUCGGCACCUAUGGUGGACACUACGUUACCUUUGUCAACCCUAAUUAUCCUCCUCAGUUAUCCCACACUGCCUGACACUGAUUGCUGUGGACAUGCCACUGCCCAGGGGUCACAGAGACCCUGCAGCUGCUGUGGCCUUGAGGGGUACCCUCCACAUCAGUGGAAGGACUGAUCCAGAUAAGAAGGAGAAAAGAGAGGACAUAGGAGGAUGUGUUCUGUGAGAUCCUGCAACCAAAUGCUGCAUCAGACCAUGAACUGAAGGCCUGGAGGGUCAAUAUUGCUGACUGUGCGGAGAAGAAAAAGGUGGACAGCUGAAAGGCCAGGAGUCCCAGUAGGAAAAGGAGAGGGAGAUGUACCAGGACAUAAUGAAGCUUCUCUGGCAGCAAACACAGAUGCUGCAGACUCCUGGUUCAACAGUCUUGGGCUUGACUUCCAAUGCAGUUUGUGGAGAACUGCAGAACAGCACCUUCCUACACCCCCCCGCCUCAGCAUUCCACCUGUCCUCAGGGCCCACACACCUACCUCUACCACUCCACCUUGAGGGAAAGCAUGGACAGCCGCAGCGGCAUGUACAAAUCAACUGUAGCUCUCACAGGUCAGUGUAUGUCGCUACAAUGGAUUGCAGUGUUCCUUCCUCUUGUUUAUUUAUUAAAGUUCCUAAAAAAUUUUAAGUUAAAAA